GCAGCAUUGUCAAGGCUACCUCGAUCCUUUCAUCCUUUUCUGUUUGUUUACAAUCGUAACCAAAGUGGCAGUGUUUAGUCGUGCAGUCUGAAGUGGAACUUUCCAUUCUUGCCUUGGGGCUCGAGCAGUAACUCACAUUUGUGCCCUUUAAACACUGGAUUUGAAACUCAAAGAAAACGUAGUAUCUAUUACAGAUAACGCACCGAAACUUAAAAUGUCGGACGAUGUAAUAUUCUUUAGAAGCUGAUUGUCGCCCACAUGGUCAAGGAACUUCUCGCCUUAAUGGAACCCACACAUUUAUUGCAGUGUUCGGAAAAUCCCGUCACCAGCCCGAGCAGCCAGUCAUAUUUUAAAGUUAUAUUACGUUACGUGUUGUUGUGAACCUACUGGUUAUCUGUAAAAUAACCCAAAAAUUACAGUGCCAGAGAGAGGCUUUCCAUUCUGACAGAUGGUUGUGCUGGAACGAGUAUCAACAUUGGUCGCUCACUGAGGUCCAGGCGAGAUUGAGAGUGGAAACCGAAAGUUGUAGAAAGAGGAAGAGAUUUUCUAAGAACCGAGAAAAUGUCGGACACGACAACCCCCAAUCGAUCUUCUGUCAACGUCGAUAAACCCCUGGCUGAAAUACACCAACAGAAUCCAGUUGUUACUUUGUACCCGAAACACAGACUAAAACACACGAUUGUCGACAGAAUGAUUUUCACCAGAAAAGACUUCAUGAUAAAGGGAAUUAGACUUGUAAGAGUGAAUAUAAUUUUGAUUUUGAUUUACUGAUUACUAGUAGGAAUCGAACCAUUGAAAGUUAAUGUAUUUAUAGGUUAUUGAAUGGGAAUGCCAAAAUAUUGUUUUGUGUGGAGUCCCAAAAGGAUAUUUACAUAUAAUUCUGUUUUUUCCACUGGUUGAAAUAAUGUCGAACCCAUAUUCUACGCAUGUAGUUUCCAUGAGUUAACAACGUUACAAAAAUCGAGUAUACCUGUUUUUGUUGUUGUUUAAAAAGUAAUAAAUAGUUUUAAAAGGAUUAUCUUCUCAGGGGAUAUUCUCUGUGGGUGUUGGAAGUCAUUUUAAAACAAAAUUAAUAUAAAAACAAUGUUUCUUCAUAAAGCAGUGGUGAAUCUGUUUCCUAUUCCGUUACUGGUAUUGGGACCUUCAUUACACGUCGCAACAAAUAUGGACCCAUUGAAGAAAAUGCUGGCGAAUUUAAGAAAAUAUGAUGAUGGAAUAUUGUUAUAUGUGGCUACUGGUGAUAAUUUGUUGUCUUGGUAUAACGUUCACAAGCCGUAACUUAUUUAUCAUCACGAGUGUAGGAUGAAUUAUAAAUAAAAUAGUGGUUAGAAUAAAAAAUCAAAAUUUCAACGUUUGCCGGGAAGAACAGAAGAAUAAAAUGGAAAGACCUGGCUAAGAUUUUCGGCUUGUGAAACGAGAAUUAAACUCGGGGCUUCGAAAAUACACUUUACUGAAAUAUUUAGCUGAGAUAUUCAACUAGACCAGUGAUCCGCAACCGAU